UUAAUUGAAGAGUUUGAUCAUGGCUCAGAUUGAACGCUGGCGGCAGGCCUAACACAUGCAAGUCGAGCGGUAACAGGGGAAGCUUGCUUCUCGCUGACGAGCGGCGGACGGGUGAGUAAUGUAUGGGGAUCUGCCCGAUAGAGGGGGAUAACUACUGGAAACGGUAGCUAAUACCGCAUAAUCUCUAAGGAGCAAAGCAGGGGAACUUCGGUCCUUGCGCUAUCGGAUGAACCCAUAUGGGAUUAGCUAGUUGGUGAGGUAAUGGCUCACCAAGGCGACGAUCCCUAGCUGGUCUGAGAGGAUGAUCAGCCACACUGGGACUGAGACACGG
rnacentral:rRNA from 2 species